rnacentral:rRNA from 1 species
UACGGAGGAUCCAAGCGUUAUCCGGAUUUAUUGGGUUUAAAGGGUGCGUAGGCGGUUUAUUAAGUCAGUGGUGAAAGCCCGGAGCUCAACUUCGGAACUGCCUUUGAUACUGGCAAUCUAGAGUCCGGAAGAGGUUAGUGGAAUUCCCAGUGUAGAGGUGAAAUUCGUAGAUAUUGGGAAGAACACCAGUGGCGAAGGCGGCUAACUGGUCCGGUACUGACGCUGAGGCGCGAAAGCGUGGGGAGCAAACAGG